GGAGCGGUAGUUCAGUUGGUUAGAAUACCGGCCUGUCACGCCGGUGGUCGCGGGUUCGAGCCCCGUCCGCUCCG
rfam:Crenothrix polyspora isolate RSM_CP1 genome assembly, contig: CRENPOLYSF1_Contig_123